AUGGGAUCAGGGUUGCAGGGGGGGGGGCAGGGAGACUCAUGACCAUGUAUCUUUUAGUGUGUGAUACAUUUUUCAAACAUUUCACUCUACAACACCUCAUAAGAAUGGGAUCCUUUGUUGGGCCCAGGCUCAGUGACACCGCUGAACAACUUUCUGGCGAGGCUGUGCCAACGUAGACCUCAAAUACUCCCGGUUCGAGCUGGCACACAUGCCCAGCAGGUCCUGGCGCCUCUGUCCUCUCCUCGUGGCCACUAGGCCAGGGGCGGUAACAUCACCGAUGCAUCACUCCCAUGGCCCCGAGAACUAACUGAACAUUUUCUUGGGUUUCCUGGCUACUCGGUCCGUGUGGGCAGCUUCUUUUGAGAAAUGCCUGUUCAGAUCUUUUGCCAUUUUAAAAAUCAGAUUCUGUCUUUUUCUCACUGAUUCAUAGUUCGCUAUAAAGUUCAACAUAUAUGUACAGUUCUUUAUGUAUUCUAGUUCUUGUCCAUUCUUGGAUAUAUAUUGCUAAUAUCUCCUUCAACUUGGUGUCUUGCCUUUUUACUCCUAAUAAUGUCUUUUGAUAAAUGGAGGCUUUAAUUUUAAGAUAACUGAAUAAUCAACAUUUUUCCUUUGAGGGUCACAUCUGCAGUGUGCUGUGCCCAGGUGUCUUCACGCACAUAGGAUGUCAAGGGUCAGGUGGGGUCCUCGCUACUGCCACCCUCAUGACCUUCCUUAGGCACAGGGGCUCCGUGUGCCAAGCACUGGCCCUGCCUCGGGCCCCUCUCACGUGACAGACACCCGUGGCACCUGCCCGGCCUGUGUUCCUACCGUGCCAUGUUUGCUGGGAGCAUUCCCAGGACCAGUGGCCCAAGGUGUGGCCCAGACCAGACCGGUGCCCAACAGAGGUGCUGGGGGAAGGAGCAGAGCCUUAGCGAGCAGAGCCCAUCUCUGUCCUGCAGACCUGGACUGAGACCUUGGGGAGCCAGGAGCUGGGGCUCCGGGAGCACAGAAGGAAGGCACAGUGUGGCCCGAAGCAGACGGAGAGGGGCAGGCAGAGGUUCGAGGGGAAGAGAUGAGGGGUGAGUGUGCAGGCUGCCCACUAUCACUCCUCCCGGCCGAGUGGAGUGGCCCCUGCAUGGUGUCCCUGGGACACACAGCACUGUUCCUGUCCCCCUUGGUCUAAUGUGAAUCCUGUCAUUGACACAGAGCCUCAUCUGAGAAAUCAGCACCCAAACCCUCGGAGCAAUGGCUUCUUUCCUUUCUAGGCAAGAAGAGAGGAAGGCCUGAGAGAGGGAAAAUGCUUUCCUAAUCGCAAGGCGGCAGAGAAGGGGCUCAAAAUCGGCCUCCUUCUCUGUCACGGAGCUGUGCUGAUGCUGACGUUUCCCAGAGUGCAUUCCGUGAGGCGCUGAGCUCAGGAAAUGGGCUCCUUGAAAACUGAUCACAAAAGAAGGCGUUUGGUUCCCUGGCCAAGCUCUGGGGCCCAUGAAGCAAGGCACUCGCCGCGGCGGGGUUUCCCAGGGCCUGUGGACAGAUGUGUCCCAACUGGGAUCCACAGCACGCAGUUUCCUUACUUCACUGGGGAGCCCCUGCUUGCAUUUGAUGGCUGCUUUGGGGAAAAUGCACUCAGGGUGUCCCUGGGGGGGGGGUGCCCUGGACAGAGCGCGGAAAGUGUCUUCCGAGGGCACAGGGGCCCUUGUCAGGUAUGUGGAGGGGAGAAGUGGGUUCACGUCUCCUUCCUGAGGGUCUGAGCAGCAUGCAGCCCCUGUGCCGGGCCCAUGCCCCCGAGAAGUCAGUCCUGGCCCAGAGCAACUAAGCUGGCCCAGCUGCAGGCGGAACCGGCCACCAUCACUGCAGGACCCUGGGCUCCCCACCCAGAAGGAGGGAGACCCAGAAGGGACAAAAGGACAGGAGGCACCUGGAGAGGAGCUGAGAGAAGGGAAGGGCGGGGAUGGAAGUGGAAACGGACAGGCGGCCGAGAGAGCACAGUGUGAAGGUGGCCCGGUGCCACCUACCGGGGAGCUGGCAGCGCUCUUGGGCCCCUCCCCAGCCUGAGGGACCAGGGGGAGAGGGCACAGGGAGCGUGGGGUGUCGCGGGCCACCAGCCCUUGGGGCAGGGCCAGGUCUGAGGGGCCCCACCGCUGCGCUGCUCUGCGCCGAGCUUCUGCAGUACUGGAAGCACGUGGCGGCCACAGGGCAGGUCUGGGACACGGCUGUGGGCAGCAAAUGGGGAGGAAGGGAGAUGAAUCACGGGGAGAUGAUCAGCAGAGAGGAGCCCAAAAGAGCAGUGGAGAGGAGCCAGGCGGAAGCACACGGCACCACCCCCAGAUCUCAGCUCAGCACAGCCCACCCGGGAGACCGGCAUGUCGCGACCCCUCCCCGCCCUGCCAGCUGCCACGUGGCUGGUGGGCGGCCCGUCUGCCUAGGAGAUCAGCUAGGCAGCCCGCCUGGAGGUGCAGCCCUCCCUCCGCACAAGCCAGCAGUGUGGCUAGGAGGUUGAGAGCAUAAAUCAAUGCGGGUGGAGGAGCCCUUGUGGAAAUCACCCAGAGAGGGCGGGCAGCACGAGGGUCCUGGAGACAGCGCCCCACCCCCUGCUUUCUGUCGAGAGGCCAUGGCCACCCAUCCACGCGGCUGGAAGUGGGCGAGGACCGGAGGAUUUCACCGGAAGGGGCCGGCCUCUCAGGCUCCCUCUCCUCUCAGGAAGGACGGUGUGUGUGCCUCGGUCUGUCCCUGAUGGGUGGCCCUCAGAGCCCACUCAGACCUGCCGCCCCCAGCCCUCCCUCUCUCAGACACCAGUGUCCCCAGCUUCACGGGCUCUGACCCCAGUGAGUCCUGACUCCCUUAGUACCAGCCACUUCCCGGGGCCUGGCCUGGCAGGGACAGAGGGACAGAAGGACAGGAGAUGAGGUCCUGGACCAUGGCGGCCAGCACGAGAAAGUGAUGUCUCAGCCUGGCCUUCCCUCCUGCUUGGAGGCAGUCACUGUAGAUCAGAGGCUGCACUCGGCCGCUUACAGCUGCAAUAGCAGAGGGCAGAGGUGAGACAGGGCUCCUGUUUCCCUGGAGAAAAGCCCAGUACCCGGCAGGCCUGGGUGGAGGAGGACAAGGCAGCUCCAAGGCCCUCUGAGCCCAGGUGUGGUAGGGAGAAGGUGCCCAGGCCGCGUGCCAGGGACGGCUCCCCGAAGGAAGAGGCAGGCAGCUGCGUCCUGAGAGACAAUGCUGGCCCGGCCAUUCGUGCUCAGCAGAUUCCCGACACCCUCCACUGUGCUGUCCUCCCCAUGGGGAGCUGAGUAGAGCGACAAGACGCAACCAGAAGAAGGCUCGUCCAGAGAGCCAGCACACAUGAGUGAGGCAGUCAGGGAGGGCUUCCUGGAGGCGGGAGCCCAAGCAGAGCUUUAAAGGAAAGGAGGGGAGACUCGGACCCAAUGGACCCCUCAAGCCCAGUCCUUCCUGGCCCCAGGACCUCUCCUCCUCCAACCGGCCUGGCAGGGUGAGUCCCACCUCUCCCUGUCCCGUUGUUCCAUUCAUGUCUGCUGUCCUCGCUGAGCUGCGGGCACGAGAGGUUUCUCAACACUGUGUCCCAGCAAAUCCCCAGCCAGUGCUUCUGGAAAGAAUGCAUGAAAAUCUGAACGAAUGAAUGACCCACCCUGACUUUUGUGGCCUGAAAGUGGGAUGGGUGAGCCAAACAUCAUCGGCUCUGCACCCCAGCCGCUCCUCCCCCUUCUCCCCAGCCCCGGGCCUCCUGCAGCUCCUGGUCCGCCUGGCUGGGCACAGCGAUCUGGCCCUGACAAGGUGAAUUGUGGGUAGAGCCGCUGAACAUGCUGCAGCUCCAGCUGCAUAAAGAAAGGCUUAUGUCUCCUCCUCUCCACAUCUGGGCUCAGAGGGAAGAGGAGGAAGGAGCUCACCCGCCCUCUCCCCUUGGAUUUGACAUUUAUCAGGCUACUUCCGGCUUUGUGUUUGCUCACCAGAGGAAUUUCACACCUGUCUCCCCAGGGGUGCACAUAUUUACAAACUGAGAAACAGGCACGAGCCAAAACUUGCAUGGCAUUAGCAGAAACUGAGGCAGGAAAUUGGCUGCUGGAAUAACUGGGAUUCUAAAGAAAGCAGGGGUUUCCUGCAAGGUAGGAGGAGUCCAGAGAAGACAACGGCCCAUCUGGCUGGACUCUGGCUCCUGGAGGUGACACCUGGGACUCCACCCCGGACAGCAGGGGGACAGAGCUGCAGGAAAAUUCCUACCACCUGAGAGCCCUGCCUCCAGUGCCAGGGGCCUGGCCCCAGCUUGGGAGAGCUGCAUGCUCAGAGUGGGUCGGGCUGGAUUUGGAACUGGGGCCUUGAGACCCCCAUCUGAGGGCCGAGAGAGCAAAGCUGAGGUCGUGUAGGGACCUUAGCCCGUCCAGGCCCUGCUUAUUCGCCCUCUGCCUGUUCCCCUGCCUGGUCCAGAGUAUUCAGUGUGAUGUCAGGUCUGGCUGCUGGGAGACCACACCAUCCCCAGCACCUAGCCUGCUGAGCUAUUUAUCUACACCGGUCGCUUGCACCCCAGGGCUGGAUGUGGGACCUGAACCCAGGCCUGCCCAGCGUGUCCUCUGCUGAGUCGCCCUCCCCAGACAGGAGCCAGGCGCCCCUUGGACUCCAAAGCAGGGAUGUGGCCAGGGGGAGGGAAGCCAUGGGAAUCAGCACAGGGAUGCACGGUCCUGUCACCAAGGCUGCAUGUGCCCAAGGACCCCAGCACCGGAGCGGCCAGCUGCCCUGGUCCCGGGGCCCUUCGGGACCUGUUAGCCCAGUGCUCAGAGCCCCGACUGCCCCAAGGUGCGUCAGUGUCUUUACCCAGGGCCACCGAAGGGACAGAGAGGACCCACAGGGCCUCCGGGAGCCACUGGUGUGCUGAGCAGGCCAGGCCCCUGCCCCGCCCCUCGGGGAUGGCGCCGAGCACAGGCUCUGGGACCAGCUCCCUCUGCCCCAGCAGAGCCCCAGACGUUGCUCCUCUCUGUGCCUCCAUCUCCCGGUCUGUAAACACGGGCACAUCAGUGGCUCACCUGUGCCUCGGGCCUGAGUGAGCUGGCCCCGAACCUGGCCAUCUGCCUGGUCCAUUCAUGGCCACGCCUGUGCUGCUGCUGUCCCCACCCGCCCAGGGCACAGGUGCUGAGCCUGCCCAGCCUCUAGGGCAAGGAGAUCAGGUAGGGCUGCCCACCGUGCUGGCUGCAGGCUCAGAAGUGUAACCCCAGCCUGGCCCGGUAUCCCGGUCUGUGGUGGCCUUGGGGACAGGCAGGCAGCCCUGGCUGGGCAACCGGAGACCCUGGACCUCUGCUUGGGCUGGGCCUCUGGGGUACUAGCUUUAGGAAGGUGUGGGGGGCUGGAAAUUGACCCUCUCUGAAAGGUGUUCACGUCCCACACCCAGAGCUGUGAAUACAACCUCACAUCCAAAAGGACGACCUUCACCUUUUAUAGCAUCAGAUGAGACUAAAUUCUAGAUCUUAAAAGGUUAAAUGUAUACUGCAUCACCUUGGUGGGCCCUAAAUGCCAUGGAGAGUGUCCUAAUAAGAGAGAUUAGAUGCCCAGAGAGGAGAGACUCGCCCCACGAGGAGCAGGUGACACGCAAACUGAGCAGAGUGAGAUGCCACCACAAGCCAAGAAAUACUGUCCAUCAGCAGGAUCUGAGAGAGGCAAGAAAGGAUUCUUCUCUGGAGCUUCCAGAGGGAGCCUGGCCCUGCUGACACUUUGACUGUGGACUUCUGGCCUACAAAACUCUGAGGGAAUACAUUUCUGUCAAUUGAAACCACAAAGUUUGUUACAGUAUUUGUUCGGGGAGCCCCAGGAAAUGAAUAUAGAUGGUGAGUGCUGGAGCACUGGGAGCCACCUUACGGCGUGCGGAGAGGGUGUGCACGAGUCUUUGAAGGAGGGAGACAGUGGGGCAGGGAGCCGGGGAGGGCCCUGAGGGUGCUGGGUCGCCCGAAGGCAGCCUUCCCUGCCUGGUCUGCUCAGCAACACAAACCAGCACCUUCUUCUUCUUAAACCAGUUUGAACCGGUUUUCUGUCACUUGCAACCCAAAGAAUUGUUUACUGCCCUCACCCAAUAGUUAUCAUGUGCCUUAAAAACAGUUCAAAUCUUUGACCCACCGGUCCCAGCUUUCUGCUCUAAGAAAACAAUCUGUAUAAGGACAGUCACGGUAGUGAGAAAAAUGGAAACAGCGUUUCAGGCCAGGCACUCAUAAACCACAGGCAUCCUUAGGGGGGAAACUAUGUCAUGAUUACAAACCAGGUUUUCACACUCAUUAUAAAACGGCAAGGAAAAGCAGGGCAUUAAAAUAACACAUAUACACCUAUCCAUAAAUGCAUGGGUUUCCGCACAAGGAGGGGAUCUCCAGUUUUGAAACUUUUGCUUUAGAUUAUUUUUGGAGAACCUAAACAUGACACAUCCUUUUGAAACCCGGUGUGUACAUUCCCCCACUUCCCUGAGCAGCCCCUUCCCUCUCCAAAGAUAAGGUAUUAGUCCCGUGUGUGCUCUGAAAUAUUCACUGCCCCGCGUGCAUCCAUAAGCAGUACCUCCCGUCAUCGGUACAUUUUUACAUAGUGAUACGCCUCGCAAGGCUGUCUGCCUCUCUGUUCUCUCUCAGCCAGGUGUGUCUGUGCACUCACUCCGCCCUGGUGGCCCUCACUCUAGUCCGUUAAUUGUAACCGCUGCCGGGGAUUCUGUUCCUGAGCACCCCUUCCCCUGGCGAACACAAGCUGAGAGGACGGACAGCAUUUUUGGACUCCAACGUGCUGCCCUUCUCCCGCUUUUCCAGGACCGUGAACGGAAUGCGUCACUCGGGAGGUGGCCUGUCCUCCCGGCCUGGGUCUGGAAGUCUCCGCCGUGGCUCCCCACUUUCCCACCCUCCUCACGUUGCACUGCCAGUUGGUCUAGGCAGAGAUCCCGCCUCCCGGGCAGCAGUGAUUGGUCCAGAUUUAGGCAUGUGACCAAAGACAGGCCAAUCAAAGCCCUUCCCCGGUGCGAUGGUUAGAAUCUGGCUUGUGCACUCUGAAAUCCUGUUGGAGUUUAAUCUGCGCAAUGAGGAGGGUCUGCGGGGGAAAUGUAAUGGAUUAUGUGUUGCCAGGAGGAGCAUCCAGGAGGUGGUAGGGAUUGGAUAAGGGUAUUAAGAUGGAACCCCUGUGAUUGAAUCCUGGGGCUCUAUAAGGAGAGAGAGAGAGAGAGAGAGAGAGAGAGCAGGACACACACACGCACACUCACUCACUGUCCAGCCGCACGGUGCUCUGAGCCCCCUCUAAGAAGAUAAUCUGAGUAAGGACAGUCAGCCUGAGAAGCCAUCAGCACAUGUGGCCCUUUGGCCUCAGAGCAGAACCGUGAGCAUGUAAAAUAACCUUCUUCUCUAUACCCGCUCGCUGUGUGGUCAUCAUGCUAUUAGUGACAGAAAGUGGCCCGAGACACCUCAGGGUUUAAACUGGAGCUGGAGGAGGGUGGAGGUGGAAGAGAGCCACUCUGUCCUCCUGACCCUGAAGGUGCAAGGACCCCACAGCCAGCCAGACCUUGGGAGGGGAGGUGCGGAAGCUCAGAGGGGCCUGUGGUGAGCAGCUCUGACCUGCAAGAACUGCACAGCCUAGUGGGUGCAGGGGGCGGCCUGGCCAGAAAUCUGCCCAUGCCAGGGCUGCCAGCCCACAGGGGACACCCUGCCACAGACAAGUCAGUUCCUUCCUUCCUGUACUUUUCAUUCAUUUAUAUUCGGGGGGGCGGGUACUGGGGAUUGAGCCCACAGCCUUCACACUGACUUAUAACCCCAGCCCUCGUUUAUUUUUUAUUUUGGGACAGGGUCUCCUUAAGUCAUUCAGUUGCCCAGGCCGGGAUCCAAUUUAUGAUCCUCCUGCCUCAGCCUCCCAGAGUGCUAGGAUUACAGGCUCCCUGGAGGCUGGGCAGAAGGCUCGGCUUAGGGAAGAACUUCAGCCAAAUCAAUUAGUGCUAAAACCCUUGAGCAAACACAGCUACUUUUGUCAUCUUAGAGUGUUCUAACCUGAGCAGCAAAAGAAAUUAAAUUAAAAACGCAGGACUCCAGGGUCAGAGCCCUAGCCGGUCUUCUUGGUUUUUAAUCUCCUAUUAAACGAUGUAUCAUCUGA